rnacentral:ncRNA from 1 species
UUUUUUAUUUUGGUUUGUAUAUGUGCGAUGAUUGGAUUGCAUGUCUCUACCUUGCUACCGUAAUGGCAAGUCUACAAACAUUUUUUAAUU